rnacentral:tRNA from 1 species
GCGCCCAUAGCUUAAUGGAAAAGCCGAGUUCUUAUAAAACGAAGACCCUAACAAGGCACAGUCUGGGUUCGAAUCCCAGUGGGCGUA